rnacentral:rRNA from 1 species
CCACGUGUAGCAGUGAAUUGUGUAGGUAUGCGCAAGCAAUCGCGAUGGGGACGCCCCCCCCCCUGGUAAUAUUAUUUGAUGCUCAGACAUGAAAGCGGGGGGAGCAAAACAGGAUAUAGAUAUCCUUGUUCGUCCCACGCCCUAUAUCGAUGUCAACGAGGGUGUUGGGGGCCUUUCGUCUUUAGUAGCGCAGCUAACGCGUGAAGUUGACCGCGUGGGGAGUACGGGUCGCAAGAUUAAAACUCAAAUGAAUGGACGCGCGCCCCCCCACCAGCGGUGGGUGAUGUGGUUUAUUUCGAUGCAACGCGAAAAACCUUACCUACCCUUGACAUGUAUGGAAAGCAGAAGAGAUUUGGCCGUGCUCGCAAGAGAACCGGAACACAGGUGGUGCAUGGCUGUUGUCAGCUCGUGUCGUGAGAUGUUGGGUUAAGUCCCGCAAAGAGCGCAACCCUUGUCAUUAGCUGGUACGCAAGAGCACUCUAAUGAGACUGCCGGUGACAAACCGGAGGAAGGUGGGGAUGACGUCAAGUCCUCAUGGCCCUUAUGGCUAGGGCUUCACACGUCAUACAAUGGUCGGGACAGAGGGUCGCCAACCCGCGAGGGGGAGCCAAUCUCAGAAACCCGAUCGUAGUCCGGAUCGCAGUCUGCAACUCGACUGCGUGAAGUCGGAAUCGCUAGUAAUCGCGGAUCAGAAUGUCGCGGUGAAUACGUUCCCGGGUCUUGUACACACCGCCCGUCACACCAUGGGAGUGGGUUUCACCAGAAGUAGGUAGCUCUAACGCAAGGAGGGCGCUACCACGUGAUCGG